rnacentral:rRNA from 1 species
GACGAACGCUGGCGGCGUGCCUAAUACAUGCAAGUAGAACGCAGAAGGAGGAGCUUGCUUCUCCGGAUGAGUUGCGAACGGGUGAGUAACGCGUAGGUAACCUGCCCGGUAGUGGGGGAUAACUAUUGGAAACGAUAGCUAAUACCGCAUAACAGUAGAUGUUGCAUGACAUUUGCUUAAAAGUUGCAAUUGCAUCACUACCACUUGGACCUGCGUUGUAUUUGCUAGUGGGUGUGGUAACGGCUCACGAAGGCGGCGAUACAUAGCCGACAUGAGAGGGUGGUCGGCCGGACUGGGAGUGAGACACGGCCCAGACGCCUACGGGAGGCAGCAGUAGGGCAUCUUCGGCAAUGGACGGAAGUCUUACCGAGAAGCGCCGCGUGAGUGAGGAAGGACUUCGGGUCGUAAAGCUCUGUUGUAAGGGAAUAACGAGUGUGAGCGUGGUACGUACACACUGUGACGGUAACUUACAAGAAAGGGACGGCUAACUACGUG